rnacentral:rRNA from 1 species
GCCUACGGGGGGCAGCAGUGGGGAAUAUUGCACAAUGGGGGGAACCCUGAUGCAGCGACGCCGCGUGGGUGAAGGAGCACCUCGGUGCGUAAAGCCCUAUCGGCAGGGAAGAAAAGCGAACAGGUUCGCCUGGACGGUACCUGACUAAGAAGCCCCGGCUAACUACGUGCCAGCAGCCGCGGUAAUACGUAGGGGGCAAGCGUUAUCCGGAUUUAUUGGGUUUAAAGGGUGCGCAGGCGGCACGGCAAGCCGGCGGUCAAAUCGCGGGGCUCAACCCCGCC